rnacentral:rRNA from 1 species
GACGAACGCUGGCGGCGUGCUUAACACAUGCAAGUCGAACGGAAAGGCCCUGCUUUGGUGCGGUGCUCGAGGGGCGAACGGGUGAGUAACACGUGAGUAACCUGCCCUUGACUUUGGGAUAACUUCAGGAAACUGGGGCUAAUACCGGAUAGGAGCUCCUGCUGCAUGGUGGGGGCUGGAAAGUUUCGGCGGUUGGGGAUGGACUCGCGGCUUAUCAGCUUGUUGGUGGGGUAGUGGCUUACCAAGGCUUUGCCGGGUAGCCGGCCUGAGAGGGUGACCGGCCACAUUGGGACUGAGAUACGGCCCAGACCCCUACGGGAGGCAGCAGUGGGGAAUAUUGCACAAUGGGAGGAAGCCUGAUGCAGCAACGCCGCGUGCGGGAUAACGGCCUUCGGGUUGUAAACCGCUUUCGCCUGUGACGAAGCGUGAGUGACGGUAAUGGGUAAAGAAGCACCGGCUAACUACGUG